GGGUUGUGAGGUUAAGCGACUAAGCGUACACGGUGGAUGCCCUGGCAGUCAGAGGCGAUGAAGGACGUGCUAAUCUGCGAUAAGCGUCGGUAAGGUGAUAUGAACCGUUAUAACCGGCGAUUUCCGAAUGGGGAAACCCAGUGUGUUUCGACACACUAUCAUUAACUGAAUCCAUAGGUUAAUGAGGCGAACCGGGGGAACUGAAACAUCUAAGUACCCCGAGGAAAAGAAAUCAACCGAGAUUCCCCCAGUAGCGGCGAGCGAACGGGGAGCAGCCCAGAGCCUGAAUCAGUGUGUGUGUUAGUGGAAGCGUCUGGAAAGGCGCGCGAUACAGGGUGACAGCCCCGUACACAAAAAUGCACAUACUGUGAGCUCGAUGAGUAGGGCGGGACACGUGGUAUCCUGUCUGAAUAUGGGGGACCAUCCUCCAAGGCUAAAUACUCCUGACUGACCGAUAGUGAACCAGUACCGUGAGGGAAAGGCGAAAAGAACCCCGGCGAGGGGAGUGAAAAAGAACCUGAAACCGUGUACGUACAAGCAGUGGGAGCACGCUUAGGCGUGUGACUGCGUACCUUUUGUAUAAUGGGUCAGCGACUUAUAUUCUGUAGCAAGGUUAACCGAAUAGGGGAGCCGAAGGGAAACCGAGUCUUAACUGGGCGUUAAGUUGCAGGGUAUAGACCCGAAACCCGGUGAUCUAGCCAUGGGCAGGUUGAAGGUUGGGUAACACUAACUGGAGGACCGAACCGACUAAUGUUGAAAAAUUAGCGGAUGACUUGUGGCUGGGGGUGAAAGGCCAAUCAAACCGGGAGAUAGCUGGUUCUCCCCGAAAGCUAUUUAGGUAGCGCCUCGUGAAUUCAUCUCCGGGGGUAGAGCACUGUUUCGGCAAGGGGGUCAUCCCGACUUACCAACCCGAUGCAAACUGCGAAUACCGGAGAAUGUUAUCACGGGAGACACACGGCGGGUGCUAACGUCCGUCGUGAAGAGGGAAACAACCCAGACCGCCAGCUAAGGUCCCAAAGUCAUGGUUAAGUGGGAAACGAUGUGGGAAGGCCCAGACAGCCAGGAUGUUGGCUUAGAAGCAGCCAUCAUUUAAAGAAAGCGUAAUAGCUCACUGGUCGAGUCGGCCUGCGCGGAAGAUGUAACGGGGCUAAACCAUGCACCGAAGCUGCGGCAGCGACGCUGAUGCGUUGUUGGGUAGGGGAGCGUUCUGUAAGCCUGCGAAGGUGUGCUGUGAGGCAUGCUGGAGGUAUCAGAAGUGCGAAUGCUGACAUAAGUAACGAUAAAGCGGGUGAAAAGCCCGCUCGCCGGAAGACCAAGGGUUCCUGUCCAACGUUAAUCGGGGCAGGGUGAGUCGACCCCUAAGGCGAGGCCGAAAGGCGUAGUCGAUGGGAAACAGGUUAAUAUUCCUGUACUUGGUGUUACUGCGAAGGGGGGACGGAGAAGGCUAUGUUGGCCGGGCGACGGUUGUCCCGGUUUAAGCGUGUAGGCUGGUUUUCCAGGCAAAUCCGGAAAAUCAAGGCUGAGGCGUGAUGACGAGGCACUACGGUGCUGAAGCAACAAAUGCCCUGCUUCCAGGAAAAGCCUCUAAGCAUCAGGUAACAUCAAAUCGUACCCCAAACCGACACAGGUGGUCAGGUAGAGAAUACCAAGGCGCUUGAGAGAACUCGGGUGAAGGAACUAGGCAAAAUGGUGCCGUAACUUCGGGAGAAGGCACGCUGAUAUGUAGGUGAAGCGACUUGCUCGUGGAGCUGAAAUCAGUCGAAGAUACCAGCUGGCUGCAACUGUUUAUUAAAAACACAGCACUGUGCAAACACGAAAGUGGACGUAUACGGUGUGACGCCUGCCCGGUGCCGGAAGGUUAAUUGAUGGGGUCAGCGCAAGCGAAGCUCUUGAUCGAAGCCCCGGUAAACGGCGGCCGUAACUAUAACGGUCCUAAGGUAGCGAAAUUCCUUGUCGGGUAAGUUCCGACCUGCACGAAUGGCGUAAUGAUGGCCAGGCUGUCUCCACCCGAGACUCAGUGAAAUUGAACUCGCUGUGAAGAUGCAGUGUACCCGCGGCAAGACGGAAAGACCCCGUGAACCUUUACUAUAGCUUGACACUGAACAUUGAGCCUUGAUGUGUAGGAUAGGUGGGAGGCUUUGAAGUGUGGACGCCAGUCUGCAUGGAGCCGACCUUGAAAUACCACCCUUUAAUGUUUGAUGUUCUAACGUUGACCCGUGAUCCGGGUUGCGGACAGUGUCUGGUGGGUAGUUUGACUGGGGCGGUCUCCUCCUAAAGAGUAACGGAGGAGCACGAAGGUUGGCUAAUCCUGGUCGGACAUCAGGAGGUUAGUGCAAUGGCAUAAGCCAGCUUGACUGCGAGCGUGACGGCGCGAGCAGGUGCGAAAGCAGGUCAUAGUGAUCCGGUGGUUCUGAAUGGAAGGGCCAUCGCUCAACGGAUAAAAGGUACUCCGGGGAUAACAGGCUGAUACCGCCCAAGAGUUCAUAUCGACGGCGGUGUUUGGCACCUCGAUGUCGGCUCAUCACAUCCUGGGGCUGAAGUAGGUCCCAAGGGUAUGGCUGUUCGCCAUUUAAAGUGGUACGCGAGCUGGGUUUAGAACGUCGUGAGACAGUUCGGUCCCUAUCUGCCGUGGGCGCUGGAGAACUGAGGGGGGCUGCUCCUAGUACGAGAGGACCGGAGUGGACGCAUCACUGGUGUUCGGGUUGUCAUGCCAAUGGCACUGCCCGGUAGCUAAAUGCGGAAGAGAUAAGUGCUGAAAGCAUCUAAGCACGAAACUUGCCCCGAGAUGAGUUCUCCCUGACUCCUUGAGAGUCCUGAAGGAACGUUGAAGACGACGACGUUGAUAGGCCGGGUGUGUAAGCGCAGCGAUGCGUUGAGCUAACCGGUACUAAUGAACCGUGAGGCUUAACCUUACAACGCCGAAGCUGUU
rnacentral:rRNA from 1 species